rnacentral:lncRNA from 1 species
UCAUAAAUCGGAGGUCAAAACGUAAUUUAGAAAAAUUAUGCCACGUCAGCUGUCCGGUCAACAGUCCUGGCCAAUCAGGAUGCGCCAGGUGACAGAGACGCUGACGCGGGAGGGAGCCACGUGGGCGAUCCGCGUGCGCGCGAUUGAACAAUUGAGAUCUAUUCCCGCUCGCACUGACGGCCCAUAUCAAAAAUGCGCACGGAUGGCCCAGAUUGCAUCGCGCACAAACGGUCCAGAUUCAUUCCCUAUUUAAUUGCGAUC